UUUAUCAAAACAAAUAAAAUAGGGAAAACACUCACAAACACUCUCUUGACCUCACCUUACAAACACUCGGACCGACGAAAAUAAGCCAGACGAGAGAGAUGGCGAUAGAGAGGCAGGAAGAAGGAAAGAGAGAAGAAGAUUAGAGAGAGUGAAGAAAGCACGCUAUAUAGAGACAUAAAGGACGACAGAAUAACAAUCGAUAGCCAUAGAUACAUUGUAUGAGAAAGACUAGUUGAAAGAAUUUACGCUGCUCUUCUAUUCUUGUUAGCAGAAAGGUGGCUGCGGUAACCACUAGUUAGUCUUUUAUUCUGUCUCUCUUCUUCGCACUUAUUGUGUCAUGGAGAUCAAAGCUUUAUUUUAUCACUCUGAUAGAAUUAUGAAUCUCCCUGGACAACCUCAAGUUGGGUUUCAACAAUUUUCAGGCUAUGUUACUCUAGAUGACAAGAAAAAAAAGAACUCUCUUUUACUACUUUAUUGAGGCAGAGAUCGAUCCUGCUUCAAAGCCUCUGGUCCUCUGGCUCAAUGGAGGGAAAGAAAGGCAUCUGGCUCAAAUUGCUUAUUGAAGUUGCAAAUCUUGUUGAAGGUGCAUUCAAGGUACGAAGAACUAUGUGAAUCGGCAUAAUCGACCAAAAUUGUUGUUGAGGAACCUGCUCUGCUCGAGGCUUUCAACAAUCUAAUUGAGGGUGCUUUGCUCAUUUCCACAGAAGCCCCAACAGAUGGUGCUCUAUGACAAGCCUUUUGUUAUUGAGUUUUUGUUGGAAAAAAUUUCGGUGUAAUAAUAUAUUGACGUGUUUUAUUUAACAUUUUAGAUUUAGGAUUGUUUUUAUUAAUGUUAGUUAAUUACACAGUGGCCCUACUCUUGCAUGUGGUUGUGUAGGCAUGGUGUGAUUUGUGGUGGGUAACUUUAUUAGUUUUUCUUUCGGGAUGUUUUUGUAAUGAAUCUUUAAUGAUGGAAUAAUAUAUUUUUGUAA